rnacentral:rRNA from 1 species
GACGGGGCCCGCACAAGCGGUGGAGUAUGUGGUUUAAUUCGACGCAACGCGCAGAACCUUACCUAGACUUGACAUCCCGGGGAUUUUCUGGAAACAGAGAAGUGCUUUAGCAAUAAAGAACCCGGUGACAGGUGCUGCAUGGCUGUCGUCAGCUCGUGUCGUGAGAUGUUGGGUUAAGUCCCGCAACGAGCGCAACCCUCGCCUUUAGUUGCCAGCAUUCAGUUGGGCACUCUAGAGGGACUGCCGGUGUCAAACCGGAGGAAGGCGGGAUGACGUCAAGUCCUCAUGGCCUUUAUGUCUAGGGCUACACACGUACUACAAUGGCCGGUACAAAGGGCAGCCACUCAGCGAUGAGGCGCGAAUCCCAUAAAGCCGGUCUCAGUCCGGAUCGCAGUCUGCAACUCGACUGCGUGAAGUUGGAAUCGCUAGUAAUCGCGGAUCAGCACGCCGCGGUGAAUACGUUCCCGGGCCUU